GCAUGAAGCGGGGGCGCUCGGCUCUCCUGCCUCACAGCUGCCGCGCGCCGGUGGGGGGAGCGUCCCCCGACUCCGGGCCGGCGUGCAGCCCUCUGACCCUGGACUUUCUCUGCCGCCGGAAACCGUCCGCUCGGCUCGUCGCCGGGGCCAUCCGCCGUUCCUGGCCCUGAGGGGCCCGGCCGACCGCGGCGAGGGUAGAGGUCAACAUGAGCUGGGGGCUCCUCUGGGCCGGCGCCGGGCAGGGGGCGGCGGUCGCAGUGCAGCUGUUGGUCACCCUGAGCUGCCUCCCGAGCGUUGUCGAGGCCCAGGUCACUGGAGUUCUGGGUGAUUGUUUGUGUGAUAUUGACAGCAUUGAUAACUUCAACACCUACAAAAUCUUCCCCAAAAUAAAAAAAUUGCAAGAGCGAGACUACUUCCGCUAUUACAAGGUUAAUUUGAAGCGACCAUGUCCUUUCUGGGCAGAAGAUGGCCAUUGUUCAAUAAAAGACUGUCAUGUGGAACCCUGUCCAGAGAGUAAAAUUCCAGUUGGAAUCAAAGCUGGGCAUCCUAAUAAGUACUUGAAAGUGGCAAACAAUACCAAAGAAUUAGAAGAUUGUGAGCAAGCUAAUAAACUGGGAGCAAUUAACAGCACCUUAAGUAAUCAAAGCAAAGAAGCUUUCAUUGACUGGGCAAGAUAUGAUGAUUCACAGGAUCAUUUUUGUGAACUUGAUGAUGAGAGAUCUCCAGCUGCUCAGUAUGUAGACCUAUUGCUGAACCCAGAGCGUUACACCGGCUAUAAAGGGUCCUCUGCAUGGAGAGUGUGGAACAGCAUCUAUGAAGAAAACUGUUUCAAGCCUCGAUCUGUUUAUCGUCCUUUAAAUCCUCUUGCACCUAGCCGAGGUGAAGAUAAUGGAGAAUCAUUCUAUACGUGGCUAGAAGGUUUGUGUCUGGAGAAGAGAGUCUUCUAUAAACUUAUAUCAGGACUUCAUGCUAGUAUCAACUUACAUCUGUGUGCAAAUUAUCUUUUGGAAGAAACUUGGGGUAAACCUAGUUGGGGGCCUAAUAUCAAAGAAUUUAAACGACGCUUUGACCCUGUGGAAACCAAGGGAGAAGGUCCACGAAGGCUAAAGAAUCUAUACUUUUUAUACUUAAUUGAGCUUCGGGCUUUGUCAAAGGUAGCCCCAUAUUUUGAGCGCUCAAUUGUCGAUCUUUACACUGGAAAUGUAGAAGAAGAUGCUGACACAAAAACCCUCCUACUGAAUAUCUUUCAAGAUACAAAGUCUUUUCCUAUGCACUUUGAUGAGAAAUCCAUGUUUGCUGGUGAUAAAAAGGGAGCCAAAUCUUUAAAGGAAGAAUUUCGGUUACAUUUCAAGAAUAUCUCCCGUAUUAUGGACUGUGUUGGAUGUGAUAAAUGCAGAUUAUGGGGGAAAUUACAGACUCAGGGUUUAGGAACUGCCCUGAAGAUAUUAUUCUCUGAAAAAGAAAUUCAAAAGCUUCCAGAGAAUAGUCCAUCUAAAGGCUUCCAACUCACUCGACAGGAAAUAGUUGCUCUUUUAAAUGCUUUCGGAAGGCUUUCUACUAGUAUACGAGAGUUACAAAAUUUUAAAGUCUUACUUCAGCACAGUAGGUAAUAAAGGCUUUUAUAUGUCUGAUUAGAGACAUAAAGUGACUUUGUGAAGCCUUUUAGUCUUGGACAUUCAGCAGAAAGAGACUAAUCUUCUAAGACUUCAAGACUUCUGAACUCUUAAAGAGAAAAUUCAAAUGCUCACUUGAAUAUUUAUGAUUCUCAAUAGAUUACUGUCAAUUAGAGAUAUUUAUAAAUGAAGUAUAUACUUUAAAACAUGUGCCAUUGUAUGUAAGAAAGAACAGCUAUUUUGGUCUUCAUCAGCAUUGCCUUCGGCUGGAAAUUUGGGAACAGUUCACAGUAAACCUCUCAGAAGUUUGCAAACUGAAGUAUUUGCAGAAACUGUAGCUAUUCACCAAAAAACAUACAGAUUAGGUGCAUGGUAUCAUGAAAAUUAUUUGGUACAAAACACACAAACCUAUAUGUACUUUAUUUUAAGUAGUAUCUACAGGUGUACCUUUGAUUUGAACAAAAUUCCAAAUAAUUUGCUGUUGUACCUGCCAGAUUCUGGAAAAUGUGAAUUAAAGUACAUGUUUCUGCCA